rnacentral:rRNA from 1 species
CAGCAGCCGCGGUAAUACGUAGGUGGCAAGCGUUGCCCGGAAUUAUUGGGCGUAAAGGGCUCGCAGGCGGUUUCUUAAGUCUGAUGUGAGAGCCCCCGGCUCAACCGGGGAGGGUCAUUGGAAACUGGGAAACUUGAGUGCAGAAGAGGAGAGUGGAAUUCCACGUGUAGCGGUGAAAUGCGUAGAGAUGUGGAGGAACACCAGUGGCGAAGGCGACUCUCUGGUCUGUAACUGACGCUGAGGAGCGAAAGCGUGGGGAGCGAACAGGAUUAGAUACCCCUGUAGUCCCUGUCUCUUAUAC